rnacentral:misc_RNA from 1 species
GAUGAAGAACGUAGUGAAAUGCGAUAAGUAAUGUGAAUUGCAGAAUUCAGUGAAUCAUCGAAUCUUUGAACGCACAUUGCGCCCGCUGGUAUUCCGGCGGGCAUGCCUGUUCGAGCGUCAUUUCAACCCUCAAGCUCUCCGGAGUUUGGUGUUGGGGCGCCUGGGGCUUUUCGACCUCAGGGCCCUCAAGUCCAUCGGCGGGACCGCCAGGACACUGAGCGCAGUAGUAUUAUUUCGCUCGGUAGGAUCUUCCACGGCGGGUCGAUCUGGCCGCUAAACCCCCCAAUUCUCACCAAAGGUUGACCUCGGAUCAGGUAGGACUACCCGCUGAACUUAAGCAUAUCAAUAAGCGGAGGA